UGUCUAAUUACUAUAGCUGAUAUAAAACAAUGAAACAUUCCGAACUCAUUUUGAUAAAAUAUCAAGCGCUUAUGGUAGCAUUUAAAUGCAAGAAUAAGAAAUAAUUAGACAA
rnacentral:rRNA from 1 species